GAUGAACGCUGGCGGCGUGCCUAAUACAUGCAAGUCGAGCGAACGGACGAGAAGCUUGCUUCUCUGAUGUUAGCGGCGGACGGGUGAGUAACACGUGGAUAACCUACCUAUAAGACUGGGAUAACUUCGGGAAACCGGAGCUAAUACCGGAUAAUAUUUUGAACCGCAUGGUUCAAAAGUGAAAGACGGUCUUGCUGUCACUUAUAGAUGGAUCCGCGCUGCAUUAGCUAGUUGGUAAGGUAACGGCUUACCAAGGCAACGAUGCAUAGCCGACCUGAGAGGGUGAUCGGCCACACUGGAACUGAGACACGGUCCAGACUCCUACGGGAGGCAGCAGUAGGGAAUCUUCCGCAAUGGGCGAAAGCCUGACGGAGCAACGCCGCGUGAGUGAUGAAGGUCUUCGGAUCGUAAAACUCUGUUAUUAGGGAAGAACAUAUGUGUAAGUAACUGUGCACAUCUUGACGGUACCUAAUCAGAAAGCCACGGCUAACUACGUGCCAGCAGCCGCGGUAAUACGUAGGUGGCAAGCGUUAUCCGGAAUUAUUGGGCGUAAAGCGCGCGUAGGCGGUUUUUUAAGUCUGAUGUGAAAGCCCACGGCUCAACCGUGGAGGGUCAUUGGAAACUGGAAAACUUGAGUGCAGAAGAGGAAAGUGGAAUUCCAUGUGUAGCGGUGAAAUGCGCAGAGAUAUGGAGGAACACCAGUGGCGAAGGCGACUUUCUGGUCUGUAACUGACGCUGAUGUGCGAAAGCGUGGGGAUCAAACAGGAUUAGAUACCCUGGUAGUCCACGCCGUAAACGAUGAGUGCUAAGUGUUAGGGGGUUUCCGCCCCUUAGUGCUGCAGCUAACGCAUUAAGCACUCCGCCUGGGGAGUACGACCGCAAGGUUGAAACUCAAAGGAAUUGACGGGGACCCGCACAAGCGGUGGAGCAUGUGGUUUAAUUCGAAGCAACGCGAAGAACCUUACCAAAUCUUGACAUCCUUUGACAACUCUAGAGAUAGAGCCUUCCUCUUCGGGGGACAAAGUGACAGGUGGUGCAUGGUUGUCGUCAGCUCGUGUCGUGAGAUGUUGGGUUAAGUCCCGCAACGAGCGCAACCCUUAAGCUUAGCUGCCAUCAUUAAGUUGGGCACUCUAAGUUGACUGCCGGUGACAAACCGGAGGAAGGUGGGGAUGACGUCAAAUCAUCAUGCCCCUUAUGAUUUGGGCUACACACGUGCUACAAUGGACAAUACAAAGGGCAGCGAAACCGCGAGGCCAAGCAAAUCCCAUAAAGUUGUUCUCAGUUCGGAUUGUAGUCUGCAACUCGACUAUAUGAAGCUGGAAUCGCUAGUAAUCGUAGAUCGGCAUGCUACGGUGAAUACGUUCCCGGGUCU
rnacentral:rRNA from 1 species